GGGGGCUCUAGGGAAGGAUGUUGUGCUGUAGGAGAUUGUGGGGGCCUGAGGGAGGAUAUAGGGUGUCUGUGGGGGGCUGUUGGGGGAUAUAGAGGAGAUAUGGAGUCUAGAAGGGUUCUGGGGGGAUAUGAGGUUGGAUGUGGGAGAGUGUGGGGGGCUCUGGAGGGGGUCUAGGGCCAGUGUGGGUCUGUGGGGAGCUGUAAGGGGAGAUGGGGCUUUAGGGGGCUGGGGGACUGUAGGGAGGGCUUUAGGGCUGUAGGGGGGAUAUGGAGUGCUAU
ensembl:lncRNA